rnacentral:rRNA from 1 species
GACGAACGCUGGCGGCGUGCUUAACACAUGCAAGUCGAACGGAAAGGCUCCAGCUUGCUGGAGUACUCGAGUGGCGAACGGGUGAGUAACACGUGGGUAAUCUGCCCUGCACUCUGGGAUAAGCCUGGGAAACUGGGUCUAAUACUGGAUAUGACCUUUCUCCUUAUGGGGUUUGGUGGAAAGUUUUUCGGUGUAGGAUGAGCCCGCGGCCUAUCAGCUUGUUGGUGGGGUGAUGGCCUACCAAGGCGACGACGGGUAGCCGGCCUGAGAGGGUGAUCGGCCACAUUGGGACUGAGAUACGGCCCAGACUCCUACGGGAGGCAGCAGUGGGGAAUAUUGCACAAUGGGCGGAAGCCUGAUGCAGCGACGCCGCGUGAGGGAUGACGGCCUUCGGGUUGUAAACCGCUUUCAGCAGGGACGAAGCGUAAGUGACGGUACCUGCAGAAGAAGCACCGGCUAACUACGUG